rnacentral:rRNA from 1 species
CAUAUCAAUAAGCGGAGGAAAAGAAACUAACAAGGAUUCCCCUAGUAACUGCGAGUGAAGCGGGAAAAGCUCAAAUUUAAAAUCUGGCGGUCUUUGGCUGUCCGAGUUGUAAUCUAGAGAAGUGUUAUCCGCGUUGGACCGUGUACAAGUCUCCUGGAAUGGAGCGUCAUAGAGGGUGAGAAUCCCGUCUUUGACACGGACUGCCAGGGCUUUGUGAUGCGCUCUCAAAGAGUCGAGUUGUUUGGGAAUGCAGCUCAAAAUGGGUGGUAAAUUCCAUCUAAAGCUAAAUAUUGGCGAGAGACCGAUAGCGAACAAGUACCGUGAGGGAAAGAUGAAAAGAACUUUGGAAAGAGAGUUAAACAGUACGUGAAAUUGCUGAAAGGGAAACGCUUGAAGUCAGUCGCGUUGACCAGGGAUCAACCUUGCUUUUGCUUGGUGCACUUUCUGGUUAACGGGUCAGCAUCAAUUUUGACCAUUGGAAAAAGGUCAGGGGAAUGUGGCAUCUUCAGAUGUGUUUAUAGCCCUUGGUUGCAUACAAUGGUUGGGAUUGAGGAACUCAGCACGCCGAAAGGCCGGGUUUUUAAACCACGUACGUGCUUAGGAUGCUGGCAUAAUGGCUUUAAUCGACCCGUCUUGAAACACGGACCAAGGAGUCUAACAUGCCUGCGAGUGUUUGGGUGGAAAACCCGAGCGCGCAAUGAAAGUGAAAGUUGAGAUCCCUGUCGUGGGGAGCAUCGACGCCCGGACCAGACCUUUUGUGACGGUUCCGCGGUAGAGCAUGUAUGUUGGGACCCGAAAGAUGGUGAACUAUGCCUGAAUAGGGUGAAGCCAGAGGAAACUCUGGUGGAGGCUCGUAGCGAUUCUGACGUGCAAAUCGAUCGUCAAAUUUGGGUAUAGGGGCGAAAGACUAAUCGAACCAUCUAGUAGCUGGUUCCUGCC